rnacentral:rRNA from 1 species
CGCGAAGAACCUUACCUGGUCUUGACAUGCAUUGUGUCUCCGGUGAAAGCCGGAUAGGGUAGCAAUACCCGCUUUGCACAGGUGCUGCAUGGCUGUCGUCAGCUCGUGUCGUGAGAUGUUGGGUUAAGUCCCGCAACGAGCGCAACCCUUAUCAACAGUUGCCAUCAUUAAGUUGGGAACUCUGUUGAGACUGCCGUUGAUAAAACGGAGGAAGGUGGGGAUGAUGUCAAGUCAUCAUGGCCUUUAUGUUUAGAGCUACACACGUGCUACAAUGGAUGGUACAAAACGUCGCAAUCCCGCAAGGGGGAGCUAAUCGCGAAAACCAUCCUCAGUUCGGAUUGGAGUCUGCACCUCGACUCCAUGAAGCUGGAAUCGCUAGUAAUGGUACAUCAGCUACGGUACCAUGAAUACGUUCCCGGGCCUUGUACACACCG